CGAUAGCUCAGUCGGUAGAGCAAAGGACUGAAAAUCCUUGUGUCGGUGGUUCGAUUCCACUUCG
rnacentral:tRNA from 1 species